GCCCAGGAAGAAACCUCUGAGAAGCAGACACACACCCAGGAACAGACUGUUUGCUGUGAGCCUCCCACCGGGCAGAAAAAGGAUGAUCUCAUUCGCCUUCUAAGAAGUCUUCCAAACCUCUGCCUCCACAGUUCCGACUUUUGUGCAAGUGUUUCUUGUCCCUGGCUGCCAGAAAGUUCUCCUCGAUAUUUAACUUGAACCUUACUCUCAGUGGGACAGACUUGGAGAAAGGUCAUUUAUUCAAAGUAUCCCAGCUUCCCAGGCACUUCCCCCCUCACAGUGACCUGCAGGAACUGGUGUGAUUACAGAUGACUGACAGCCCCUUCAUUGGGAGGGGCCACCUGACAAGG